AAACUCUCUCAAACACUCUCUCUCCCUCUACCUAAAAUCCUCUCCCUUCUCUCUAUAAAAUACAAGAAGAAAAACAAAGGGAAAAUCUUCUUCAAAGAUUUGAAACUCUUAGAACAAGGUGUUGUUUGGGGAGGGUUUGAAGGUUUGUGGAAGCUGGAACCAAGAAGAAACCAAGACCUAGAGCCAAACAAAAAACAAUAGGAUCAAGAGUUUCGAUCUACGAUUUGUAACGCCUCAUGUCAGUAUGACUGCCUCCUGGAAUGACGAUUGGCCUUGCAAACCAACACGAGUCUUUCCAGCAUACUUUGUCUCCACUCGCAUGCUUCCCGAGAAAGACUUUCCAGGAGGUCACCCAUCAUGAGACUACUCUAGGUCAAGCACGCUUAACUUUGGAGUUCUCAAGUGAUGGGCUACCGAAAGGAAGAUGCAUCUUGUUUUCAUAAAUAAGAGUAUUAUUAUUGUAUAUCUUAUUAUUUUGUAAUCCAAAGUGUAAUUUUCCCUUUUGUGUAAGGGUUAUUUUGGCAGUCUAUUUUAAAAAAUGAACUUUUAGACCUCGUGUUCUGUCAAAAUAUUAAAAAUAUGAAUAUAAUAGAUCGAUUAUUUAA